rnacentral:rRNA from 1 species
CCUACGGGUGGCUGCAGUGGGGAAUAUUGGGCAAUGGACGCAAGUCUGACCCAGCAACGCCGCGUGAAGGAAGAAGGCUUUCGGGUUGUAAACUUCUUUUAAGGGGGAAGAGCAGAAGACGGUACCCCUUGAAUAAGCCACGGCUAACUACGUGCCAGCAGCCGCGGUAAUACGUAGGUGGCAAGCGUUGUCCGGAUUUACUGGGUGUAAAGGGCGUGCAGCCGGGAAGACAAGUCAGAUGUGAAAGCCCGGGGCUCAACCCCGGGACUGCAUUGGGAACUGCCCUGCUGGAGUGCCGGAGGGGCAGGCGGAAUUCCUAGUGUAGCGGUGAAAUGCGUAGAUAUUAGGAGGAACACCAGUGGCGAAGGCGGCCUGCUGGACGGUGACUGACGCUGAGGCUCGAAAGCGUGGGGAGCAAACAGGAUUAGAUACCCUUGUAGUC